GCCUCCCUGAUAUGUUUCUUAUGCUUCUGGAUUGUGGGUGUGAUGUGGAGGUUGUCUUAUUGCUGGAUUAAAGGUGAGUUUAUUUCUUUAAAGGGACACUAAAGGCACCCAGACCACUUCAGCUCAUUGAAGUGGUCUGGGUUCAAUGUCCCAGAUCCCUUAACCCUUCAAAGGUAAUCAUUGCAGUUUGUAAUAAAAUGCAACAAUUAGCUUUGAAGGUUAACUCCACCUCUAGUGGCUGUCAACCAGACUACCACUAGAGGGAAUUACGGUCGUUAGGCAACUUAUGGUCGCCUAACUGACGCUGGACGUCCUCACGCUAUGCAUGAGAACAUCUAGUGUCACCCGAAAUCCCAUAGGAAUGCAUUGUAUAAUGCUUUCCAAUGGGGGAAGUCCUAAUGCGAGCAUGGCCAUUGUCACGCCUGCGCAUUAGGUCUCCCCUGCCGGCUGAUGUUGGCGCUGGAAUCCGGAAAGUGAGAACUUUAGUGGAUCCUCAUCCCUGGUGUCCAGUGGCAAAAUGUCAUGAGCCCCCCCCCCCUCUUUAAUUGCCAAUGGUCAGAACAGUAAUGGAG